AUGCAUCAUUCCCCCGGAUUGAAGAAUACUAAAAGCCCCCAAUCCACAUUCUCAAUUUCCAACGAGCUACGAAAAGAGGCCCCAGCUGGGGCCGAGGGUUCUCCUCCAUCCCCAGGGGGAGCUUCGCCUCCCCGCACAGCUGCCCACCGGGGGCAGAGAAGCGCCGCGGGCCCCUCUAACCUGACUGUAGAUCUCCCCGCGCUUGGUGCCCAUCCCCGGGAUCUCCAACUUCGCUUCCCUCUUACUUUCAGUCAGAUCUGUCUGGCCAGCGUCAGCAAAGGCGCUGGGAAGGAGCAGAAGCCCAGCGGCCGGGCACGGAAGCAGAGGGUUGGGGGUGCGCAUUACCUGCGAAGGUUCUCGAGGUCUCCUUCCAGCCCCGGUGGUAAUCUCGCUCAGCGCCGCGUCCUCCCCCAGAUCCAAACUUUUGCUCGGUCCUCCGGGUGGCGGAGGCGGCGACGGUGGCGGCUGCCGAAGCCCAGCCCUGUCGCCCGCAGCGUCGGGGCUCGGGGGUGCGGAGGCCGGAGCCUCAGAGCGGCGCGCGCCUCCCCGCAGCCGGCCGGAGCCCGGGCGCCCCGCUCGCCUCGCUCGCCUCGCUCGCUCUCGCCUUUCUCCCCUACGGAGCCGCGGCAUCGUCUUCCCCCUUCCUCCGCCACCUCCGCCUCCAGGGUUCGGGCAUGCCACUUUCUCUCGGCUCCCGCCGCCGCGGCCCCCGCCUCUGGUCCUCCUCCGCCUCCCCCUCUCCGCCUCGACCGCGCCACGAGUCCCGAAAGAAGAGGGCGAGCGGGGAAGGCAGCGGAAAGAGGCCCCGCAGCGCCGGAGCUCCGCGGGAGCGGAGGACCUUGGGGGGCGGCCCGAGAGCCGGGCGUGCGCGCCCCGGGCGCCCCGGAGCUGACCGCUCAGAGCCCCGGACCCGGGCGCAGCGCGGCGCUGCGCGGGGGCGGGCGCGGGGCUCGCUCCAAGUGCGGCGCCGGCCCCGGUGUGGGUCCCGAGGCUGCUCCGACCUCACUGCUGCCACGCUCGGACGCGGCCGGGCUAAUGUAG
rnacentral:lncRNA from 1 species